GAGACUACAGCAAGUGGUGGCCCUUACGAGGAACUCAUCACAUUGGUCCGCAACGGAGAAAAUCAGAAAGGUUCCUGGGAAAAAAGGGAUGAAGCAUUAAGGUUCUCAGGAAGUGAUGGAGAUGAG